UACGUAGGGUGCAAGCGUUGUCCGGAUUUAUUGGGCGUAAAGAGCUCGUAGGCGGUCUGUCGCGUCGGAUGUGAAAAUCCAGGGCUCAACCCUGGACCUGCAUUCGAUACGGGCAGACUAGAGUUCGGUAGGGGAGACUGGAAUUCCUGGUGUAGCGGUGAAAUGCGCAGAUAUCAGGAGGAACACCGAUGGCGAAGGCAGGUCUCUGGGCUGUAACUGACGCUGAGGAGCGAAAGCGUGGGGAGCGAACAGG
rnacentral:rRNA from 1 species